rnacentral:rRNA from 1 species
CACUCCUGCGGGAGGCAGCAGUGGGGAAUUUUGGACAAUGGGCGAAAGCCUGAUCCAGCAAUGCCGCGUGUGUGAAGAAGGCCUUCGGGUUGUAAAGCACUUUUGUCCGGAAAGAAAUCCUUGGCUCUAAUACAGUCGGGGGAUGACGGUACCGGAAGAAUAAGCACCGGCUAACUACGUGCCAGCAGCCGCGGUAAUACGUAGGGUGCGAGCGUUAAUCGGAAUUACUGGGCGUAAAGCGUGCGCAGGCGGUUUGCUAAGACCGAUGUGAAAUCCCCGGGCUCAACCUGGGAACUGCAUUGGUGACUGGCAGGCUAGAGUAUGGCAGAGGGGGGUAGAAUUCCACGUGGAGCAGUGAAAUGCGUAGAGAUGUGGAGGAAUACCGAUGGCGAAGGCAGCCCCCUGGGCCAAUACUGACGCUCAUGCACGAAAGCGUGGGGAGCAAACAGGAUUAGAUACCCCAGUAGUCCC